rnacentral:lncRNA from 1 species
UGAAUGUAACCUUUGGAUACAAAUGUAAAAAUGACUUUGUACUAUAAUCAAUUUAAUUUCAUUUGCCACUAUUUUUCAGCAACCUAGACACAAACAGGAUAACUAAGAGAGAGCGUUGGGAUAAGAUUUAUCCAUAUGGUUAAUGUAGAAAAAUAUUGUGGCAAAUUUGCUACGGUUGGCAAGAGAUUAGAUGAAGUAAUGGACCACAGAAGCAGAUAAUACAAGCUGGAAUGAGAAACCUGCCCUGGGAGUGUUCCUCCUAAAGGGAAACACUCAGAGGGCAAAUGAAUGCAACCAGGCUGGUAGUGUGGCGGAUAAGACAGAUUGAACUGAAAGUCCACAGAGAGCUUCCCAAAAC